UCAAACUUUUAGUAUGCGACCGGCGCACGGGUGAGUAACACGUAUCCAACCUGCCUCAUACUCGGGGAUAGCCUUUCGAAAGAAAGAUUAAUACCCGAUGUUAUAGUCCUACCGCAUGAUGGGAUUAUUAAAGAAUUUCGGUAUGGGAUGGGGAUGCGUUCCAUUAGUUAGUUGGCGGGGUAACGGCCCACCAAGACAACGAUGGAUAGGGGUUCUGAGAGGAAGGUCCCCCACAUUGGAACUGAGACACGGUCCAAACUCCUACGGGAGGCAGCAG
rnacentral:rRNA from 1 species